rnacentral:tRNA from 1 species
ACUAUUUUGGCAGAUUAGUGCAAUAAAUUUAGAAUUUAUUUAUAUAAUUUAUUUAAUUAUAAAUAGUA